UUGUGAUUAAUGGAUUCAUGUUGCAUGUAGAAAUGCACGAGCAUUUUCCUAGUGAUUGUAGUUGGUCGGUAGUUGAGCAGUUACAGGGGUGAAUAUAUAUGAGCAUAAACUGUGAAAUAUAAUGGACAACUGUUAAAAUAAAUAUAAAAGAAAGAAAAAAAGGAGAUAAAAAUCAACUCUUAAGGCCGAUGGUCGCCCAACAUGGUGUUCUAGCCCAGUUCGUAAGCACUCUAGGCGACACCUUGUUUCGUCUCACAAUAGUCGACACAGAGUCGCUCCCCUAAGGUUAAGGUGAGUGCCAUGUGGUCGUGUGUGCAAGUCAGGGAAGACCCAAUCACUCAUGUGGGCCAUCCACCUCAAUACUGUAGGCAAAUAGGCAAUGCCCAAUAAUCUACAAAACCUAUUUUUCUUACCCACACCAAUGAGUCUCUCCCGUGGGGCUUGUCCAUUUGGUUAUUAGUAGCACAUCACCAGGGUGCAUAAAAUGGGGGCAGAAGCCUGACUAUUUAAUAGGGUGGUAUGCCUCGGGUGGAAGGCAUCCAUAUCCUUGGUGAAACGGACACGGGAUACUCUUUUAGUAUAAGUCGAAAACCGAAUCAAAAAGGAAAUAUAGAAACACCAAAACUUACUAACCGAAGUUUAUGUAGCAAAUGCCAGGGUCAGCCAUGUGAGGUGCCCAACAUGGUCAUGGGAUCGUCAAGCAGCGAUCCACAAGGGAGGAUAAAGGGGAUUGACAACCCAAGCUUUGUGGAUCUUGGAUGACCUCUCAUAAGGCCCAAAACCCACACCUCGUUUUCUUACAUGCAUGUUUCAUGUGAG
rnacentral:lncRNA from 1 species